UCAAUCUCCGCGGUGCCGUCGGGGAGGAGGGGCUGGGGCGGCCGUGUCUGGUGCGCUCUCGCUACUCAUCGACCUUGCUGUUACUACCUCAUCCUUGAAGCCAUGGGUGCCCUCUAAUUUUCCCUUUGGAGUGUUCAAUGCAAACUGCAAAAGUAGAGCUGGUUGGCUGGCUAAUCAGCUUAGCUGUUGAUUUGAUCAGGGGAUAGCAUAUGAAGUGAGUAAACGGAAAGAACGUGAGCGUCCAAGCAGGAACUGCAAAUGCUCUAUUUUAGUCAAAGCAUGGGAAUGUGCCCAAGGGAAAGGUAUUUGUGUGAUUGAUCAGAACUACAUACAUAACAAUGCAAGGACACAAUAUAAUUGGGCAUUUUCAAGGCUAGCACAUGGAGCGGCAAAAGGGAGGAGGAGCUACCACGGAGGCUAGGUAACUCGAGGAUGUUCUAGAAUUAGUGUAGAAUAUGCCUGACUCUACAAGAAAAUACAUCGGAUAAUUAGGAAACAAGGCACUGACAAAAAAACAAGAAAAUACAGAGACCAAAUACUUGAGGGGCUGCAACUCUGCAAGACUGAAAUUAACAAAAAGCUAAGCCUUUUAUUGUUUAGAUAAACAAACAGCUAAGUCAGUUGAGGAGUGAUCUCCGCAGCUCCCAGGUCACUAGAGGAGUCAAAGAUUGUCCGCUGAAAGACGGACAAGUGAUCAUGUUUUAUCAUUGUUUGAAAGGAGUAGUGGACGCGGAUGUAUGUAUAUUUUUCGUUCAAAGUAAUGGAAGUGCAAAUUUGUAUAUACUUUACUGGCAUUAUUUAGUGGAUUUUAUCAUAUUUAAUAAAUUGGAUUUUAUACUGU